AAAUUGAAGAGUUUGAUCAUGGCUCAGAUUGAACGCUGGCGGCAGGCCUAACACAUGCAAGUCGAACGGUAACAGGAAUCAGCUUGCUGAUUCGCUGACGAGUGGCGGACGGGUGAGUAAUGUCUGGGAAACUGCCUGAUGGAGGGGAAUAACUACUGGAAACGGUAGCUAAUACCGCAUAACGUCGCAAGACCAAAGAGGGGGACCUUCGGGCCUCUUGCCAUCAGAUGUGCCCAGAUGGGAUUAGCUAGUAGGUGGGGUAACGGCUCACCUAGGCGACGAUCCCUAGCUGGUCUGAGAGGAUGACCAGCCACACUGGAACUGA
rnacentral:rRNA from 1 species